UUGAACGCUGGCGGCAUGCCUAACACAUGCAAGUCGAACGGCAGCAGGCUCGUUUUACCUUCGGGUGAAAUGAGUGCUGGCGAGUGGCGGACGGGUGAGUAAUACGUAGGUACCUGCCUCGAGGAUGGGGACAACCCACGGAAACGUGGGCUAAUACCGAAUAAUCUCUUCGGAGGAAAGCCUCCAAGCUUGCUUGGGGACGCCUUGAGAGGGGCCUGCGUUCGAUUAGCUUGUUGGUGAGGUAACGGCUUACCAAGGCGACGAUCGAUAGCUGUUCUGAGAGGAAGAACAGCCACACUGGGACUGAGACACGGCCCAGACUCCUACGGGAGGCAGCAGUGGGGAAUAUUGGACAAUGGGGGCAACCCUGAUCCAGCGAUGCCGCGUGUGUGAAGAAGGCCUGCGGGUUGUAAAGCACUUUUGCUGGGGAGGAAGGUGAUGUAUGAAAAGUACAUUUGCUUGACGUUACCUAGAGAAUAAGCACCGGCUAACUCCGUG
rnacentral:rRNA from 1 species